UACAGAGGGGGCAAGCGUUGUUCGGAAUUACUGGGCGUAAAGGGCGCGUAGGUGGCCUUCUAAGUUGAACGUGAAAUCCCUGGGCUCAACCCAGGAACUGCGUCCAAGACUGGGAGGCUUGAAUCCGGGAGAGGGAUGCGGAAUUCCAGGUGUAGCGGUGAAAUGCGCAGAUAUCAGGAGGAACACCGGUGGCGGAAGGCGGGUCUCUGGGCCGAGUACUGACGUGGGAGGAAGCGAAAGCGUGGGGAGCGAACAGG
rnacentral:rRNA from 1 species